AUUGAACGCUGGCGGCAGGCCUAACACAUGCAAGUCGAGCGGUAACAGGGGUAGCUUGCUACCCGCUGACGAGCGGCGGACGGGUGAGUAAUGCAUAGGAAUCUGCCCGAUAGUGGGGGAUAACCUGGGGAAACCCAGGCUAAUACCGCAUACGUCCUACGGGAGAAAGGGGGCUUCGGCUCCCGCUAUCGGAUGAGCCUAUGUYGGAUUAGCUAGUUGGUGAGGUAAAGGCUCACCAAGGCGACGAUCCGUAGCUGGUCUGAGAGGAUGAUCAGCCACAUCGGGACUGAGACACGGCCCGAACUCCUACGGGAGGCAGCAGUGGGGAAUAUUGGACAAUGGGGGGAACCCUGAUCCAGCCAUGCCGCGUGUGUGAAGAAGGCCCUCGGGUUGUAAAGCACUUUCAGUGAGGAAGAACGCCUGGUGGUUAAUACCCAUCAGGAAAGACAUCACUCACAGAAGAAGCACCGGCUAACUACGUGCCAGCAGCCGCGGUAAUACGWAGGGUGCGAGCGUU
rnacentral:rRNA from 1 species